GAUGUCGCUGGCGGCUUGCUUACCACAUGCAAGUCGAGCGGUAACAGGGGUAGCUUGCUACCCGCUGACGAGCGGCGGACGGGUGAGUAAUGCUUAGGAAUCUGCCCAGUAGUGGGGGAUAGCCCGGGGAAACCCGGAUUAAUACCGCAUACGUCCUACGGGAGAAAGCAGGGGAUCUUCGGACCUUGCGCUAUUGGAUGAGCCUAAGUCGGAUUAGCUAGUUGGUGGGGUAAAGGCCUACCAAGGCGACGAUCCGUAGCUGGUCUGAGAGGAUGAUCAGCCACAUCGGGACUGAGACACGGCCCGAACUCCUACGGGAGGCAGCAGUGGGGAAUAUUGGACAAUGGGGGCAACCCUGAUCCACCAUGCCGCGUGUGUGAAGAAGGCUUUCGGGUUGUAAAGCACUUUCAGUAGGGAGGAAAACCUUAUGGCUAAUACCUAUGAGGCUUGACGUUACCUACAGAAAAAGCACCGGCUAACUCCGUGCCAGCAGCCGCGGAAUACGGAGGGUGCAAGCGUUAAUCGGAAUUACUGGGCGUAAAGCGCGCGAGGUGGUUUGGUAAGCAAAAUGUGAAAGCCCCGGGCUUAACCUGGGAACGGAUUUCAAACUGUCAACUAGAGUGGGGUAGAGGGAAGUGCAAUUUCCUGUGAACGGUGAAAUGCUUAAAUAUUAAAAAGAACACCAAUGCCAAAGGGGCUACCUGGACCAACUCUGACGCUGAGGUGCAAAAGGUGGGGAAGCAAAGGGAUUAAAAUCCCUGG
rnacentral:rRNA from 1 species